GAUGGCAGCAUUUAAUAUCCAAGAGGCACUAAACUGGAAGGAAAAAAUUGAACUUAUAAUUGAUCAGGAUUCAGCUCCACCAUCACCCUCUGGUAAUCGGAUGAGUUUUGCCAGUGAUCGGUUUAGCAUCUUCAGUGAUGAUAUUGAGGACUGAUUGAACAAGUUCAGGCUUCUGCGGGCCUAUGCUAGCCAAAUGCCUCGGGAUGCAGGGGACCAACCAAAUCUUUCUCUUGAUUUGUUCGUCUCUCUCUCUCUCUCUCUCUCUUUUUAUGUAGCAGAAGAUUCCUUUGGGUCUUGAUGUUGUUUAUGUUGCGUGUACUGAUGUUGUUGGCUUGAAAUAUUAUGGCUUUCUGUAACAAAGCAUACUAUGUAGUCUGAUACUACGAUUGACUUAAAAGAACUUGUUAUUGGGUUUAUGAUAGUAAGGAGCAAAAUAUAUAACCAACAUUGAUUCUAUUAGUUGUUAGACUUAUGUAUAAAGUAGAGAGUUGUGAAUUAGUUUUAAGAGAA